CCUACGGGAGGCUGCAGUGGGGAAUAUUGGACAAUGGGGGGAACCCUGAUCCAGCCAUGCCGCGUGUGUGAAGAAGGCCCUCGGGUUGUAAAGCACUUUCAGUGAGGAAGAACGCCUGGUGGUUAAUACCCAUCAGGAAAGACAUCACUCACAGAAGAAGCACCGGCUAACUCCGUGCCAGCAGCCGCGGUAAUACGGAGGGUGCGAGCGUUAAUCGGAAUUACUGGGCGUAAAGCGCGCGUAGGUGGCUUGAUAAGCCGGUUGUGAAAGCCCCGGGCUCAACCUGGGAACGGCAUCCGGAACUGUCAAGCUAGAGUGCAGGAGAGGAAGGUAGAAUUCCCGGUGUAGCGGUGAAAGGCGUAGAGAUCGGGAGGAAUACCAGUGGCGAAGGCGGCCUUCUGGACUGACACUGACACUGAGGUGCGAAAGCGUGGGUAGCAAACAGGAUUAGAUACCCUGGUAGUC
rnacentral:rRNA from 1 species